rfam:Schistosoma mansoni strain Puerto Rico chromosome 2, complete genome
GCACUGUUGAGGGGUCCCAUAAUAGGACGAAACGGCCGUCUAGUGC